GAACCGUGCAGUGAUCUGGUGGAACAGUGCUCCAGCCCAGCUCCUGCUGCCCGGGAGGUGGACACACCGUACAACCACCUUUCUGAGAAAGGAGCCAGUCUCUGAAUGGCCGAGAUGAAGUUGCCUUGACGGGUUUUCCUGCUUCUGCUCAGAGGCAGAAGAGAACUGCCCAGGAGCCAGAAGACAGGUGCCCCUGGACUCCAACAGAUGCCCGAGAAGCUGACCUGGACGGCACCAAGAGAGCAGAGAGCAAGCAGGAAUGCUCCCAACCUGCCCAUCCACCCUGCUUUCUCAGACUCUGUCCACAGCACCGCGGGGAGUGGUGGCCGCCCUGUGCCCCGACUGCAAUGCUGAUCCUCAGCACCCAGGGCUGGUUCCGGUCACCGUGAGAAGCAGGAGGGUAUCCUGAGGCUUGGCCCUUACUUUGGUCAUCCAUUGAUUCCCUGGCCUCAACACGCACUCAUUCAGCGAGGCUUAUUCUUCCAGCAGACAUUCUCGACCACCUUCCCUGGUCAAGCACCGGCGGGUCCUGGAUCCCCAUGGGAAGCAAGCGUUUGUGGUGUGGAGCGGGUGGAUGAGGGAACCCAGACAUCGUUCCUGCCUCUGAGGCCGGGCUGGUCCUUCCUGGGGGCCAUGGUCAGCAGAGGCACUGCCGCAGUUCUGGAGGGCUCGGGGGAAGGGCUGAUGGUACUUCAAUUGCUGGUCUUUAAUGGCAGAGCCAGGGACGUCGUGACACUGACACUCCGGCUUUCGUAGCUGGAGUUGCAGAGCUGAAGAGAGCCAAGGGCGUGCUUUUAAGGGGUGUCCAAGCCAUCAGCAAACAGCCGGCUACUGCGAGGCCAGUGACAUUCCUGGUGGCUUCUCUUGUAUUGCAAACCCAGCUCCAUGCCCUUGGGGGAAACUCUUGCUCUAAUGCCUGUCCAGAGAAGUCCUGUCGUCUUCAGAGGUGCAUUCCCCUGGGGACGUCAGACAAAUGCGUGUUCAUUGGGAAGUCCAUCCAGUGUGCUAGAGAAGAAGCCAAGAGCAGCAGGCCCCUGUCCCUGUGGACACUCCCGUCCUCCACCCUGCCAGCACAGCGGCUCAGAGGACCCCGCGGGGUCUCUGGAGAGUGCCUGGAGGCUGGGCCCCUCACCUGGAGGGCACCUCUCUGCAGGGCCCCUUCGGCCCCAGCUGGUGCUCUUUCCCUCAGAGGAAGUGUCCUCCAAGGAAUUCAUUAACAGAAAUUCAUCCUCGUCCUCAUGUGGCCCAGGUGCUGCUCUAUGUGACGUACACGCAUUGGGCCAUUUUAUCUUGGCACAGCCCUAUGAGGAGCAUACACUGUCACCUUCAAUACACAGGACAAGAAACUGGACACCAAGGGCUGAGUUCACUUGCACCAAGUUCUGUGAGCCCCGAGAGGCUGUGCAGGACUCCAGCCCUGUGGUCUGACCCCCGUUCUGCCUUUCUCUGCUGCGUGCUGAUCUCGCCUGGCCGCGCACCUGGACUCUAGGGCUCAGAAGGGCUCCCUGCACUGGGUCCCUUUUAGUAACUCAGGCCACUCUUUGAAACCCCUUCCUGCUGUCUGCUGGGACCUGGCAGACUCUGGCGCACAGAUGGCUGAUGGAGUGGGAACCAUGCUCCCCAGAGGACGCCGAGAUGUUGGGGCUUCGUUUUUGUGGGUGAUCCAAGGGCCCUCACUCCCAAGAGCGGUCUGCGGCGUAUUCCAGACAAACCCUGUUCCUCCUCCAGGGAGGGAUGUCAGAUCUGUCCACAGCACCUGCAAAGGUCUGUGUCCCAAAGAGUAUCAAGCAGUGGCCCUGGGGGCGUUUCCUCCUCCACCUGGCUUGGUGCAGGACUGCCGUGCUGGUCAGGACUGUUGGCAGUAGACGGCUAAACUUCCUUUGCUUACUGAGCGAUAACAAAAUGCCAACUUGGAGUACACAUAGAGAAAGUCAAAAUGUUUAAUGAUCUUUAUUGAAAUAUUACUGAUGUACAAUUGUUAUAAUGAAAACAUUACAGCGAGUAAAAGUUAGUUGAUAUUUAAGUGA